rnacentral:tRNA from 1 species
UCUGAUAUGGCAGAUUAGUGCAUUGGACUUAAACCCCAAAUAUAAAGUUAAACUUUUUUCAGAA